GAAGGUGCCAACGUGGUGAGCCAAGAACGGAGCGUGAAAUCGAAAGAGAGAGGAAAACACAGAAGGGAAGCGCGGGGAGAAGAAUAAGGUGUUUGGGAGUUUGGAUGCCAAAAACUGAGAAGAGACUCGGAUUCUGGCGGUCUUCUUUUCGAACUAUAGACCCGUGGUUCAUCUCCAACAAGACAUUGUUGGGGUCUUAGCUGGCCCAAGUUUGAAUUUGUAUCGUUUUGGGUGACACACACAUUCAGAAGCAUUUUGUAAGGAUGAAUAAGAAAUUUGGAGGUGGAAGGCAACCAACUGGGACCCCUUCGCUGGCUCGUUCAUGUGUGGUCGUUAUCUUCUCCCUACUCGCCGGUGCCUCUGUUGUCCACAAUAUUUAUAAGCCUAAUCUUACAUUGCCCCCAAUUGAUGGAGUUGAUGCGGGCAAGAAGAAACAAGAUGAGGAAUAAUAACCAGGUCCCCGUUGUGAGUUCUUUUUGUAAUAUGGUGAAGAUACAAGAUGAGGAAUAAUAACCAGGUCCACCUAUUGAGGCCUAAAAUUUUCUGUCUUCAGGCAAGGUUGAGAUACAGGGGAUUGUUCUCUUCGAACGGUUGUCAUAUUAGAUUGGAUGAGGAUUUUAAUUAUUUUGAUUGCGAGGACUAAUGAAUUAGGUAUGAGCACUCCUUUAACUAGGAGAAUCUAAAUGUUAGGGGUUGAAAAAAGGAAUGCAUUCUAUAAAUUUCUGUUGAUAAAAUAGUAGCUAGUUAUGGUUCCCUUCAUAAUAUAACUUCAAACAUGUUCCUACCAA